ACUCGUGUUCUGCUGCUGGUCUCUGCACAGCAUUGGGGGCGAAAUGUGAUUCACCUCCUCCCAGAGAGCAGAUGAACCUUGGGGUGGUGUUUACAUUUGAAUGAGGUUGCUGACCUAAAUUAAAGGGAGAAUUGCAGGAACAUAUUGGUCCUACAUUCUGACCAGCGGACCUGCAGAAGACUCUCGUGUCAGAUGUGGACUUACCUCCAUAAAACUACUGCUCUUGAUCUACCGUUCCCAGCUCCUGCACUAAGCUGUUAUAGUCAGCCUUCCCCAAAUGUAGCACUUUUGUUCCGAGGGUUCUUUUGAAGACCAUGGCCUGGAGUUUUAUGCUGAUUUCAGUUCUUUGUGGGAAUGGGAUCCACUCCGAGGUCUCACGACUGACCGUUAUUUGAUAUACCAAGGACGCAGCCUAGAAGAUUAGCUCGCCUUUGGAUUUCCUGGAUUUCGUGGCUCUGGAGGCGGGCAGACUUGUGGUCAGUGCCUCUGCAAGGAAUCAAAGUGUAGUGGGAGACGGAAGAUUGAAAGCAGCAAGCCGGCUGCUGGCUGUGUGCCCAGAGACCCGGGUUCUUUGGGCACAGAGCUCGGAAAAAGUAAUGCAAGGAACUUUUAACAGCAUAAAUCAGCGAGUUGUUUGUUACGUCUCGCUGUGAAAUGGCGUAACCUCUUUUUCCCUUAUUGGAAGAGAAAGAGCCUGUGGUAUGUUAAAUUACUGAGUGAAUGAGUAGUCUUUGGGGUACUGCAAGAUUGUGUCUUUAUUGAUGCUUUGCUGCAUGCCUGAGUGCUCAGUGGGGGGCACUGA